UACGAACGCUGGCGGCGUGCUUAACACAUGCAAGUCGAACGGAAAGGCCCUGCUUUUGUGGGGUGCUCGAGUGGCGAACGGGUGAGUAACACGUGAGUAACCUGCCCUUGACUUUGGGAUAACUUCAGGAAACUGGGGCUAAUACCGGAUAGGAGCUCCUGCUGCAUGGUGGGGGUUGGAAAGUUUCGGCGGUGGGGGAUGGACUCGCGGCUUAUCAGCUUGUUGGUGGGGUAGUGGCUUACCAAGGCUUUGACGGGUAGCCGGCCUGAGAGGGUGACCGGCCACAUUGGGACUGAGAUACGGCACAGACUCCUACGGGAGGCAGCAGUGGGGAAUAUUGCACAAUGGGCGGAAGCCUGAUGCAGCAACGCCGCGUGCGGGAUGGCGGCCUUCGGGUUGUAAACCGCUUUCGCCUGUGACGAAGCGUGAGUGACGGUAAUGGGUAAAGAAGCACCGGCUAACUACGUG
rnacentral:rRNA from 1 species